GCGGAAGUAGCUCAGUGGCAGAGCGCCUCCUGGCCAAGGAGGAGGUCGCGCGUUCGACCCUCGUCUUCCGCUCCA
rnacentral:tRNA from 1 species